GUCCUCAUAGUUCAACGGAUAGAACGAGUGCCUCCUAAGCGCUAGAUACAGGUUCGAUUCCUGUUGAGGGCA
rnacentral:tRNA from 1 species